rnacentral:lncRNA from 1 species
UUUAUAUGUUCAACCAUUCCAACAAUCUCCACCUUGAUUGAAAAUAAUAUAUAAACUGACAAUCAUAUUCCACCGUAAAGAGUAUAGUCAUUUGAAACUAUAUCACUUCAAGAAUUUCCAUAAUAUCUUCACUAACAACCAUAGUUCAAAAACUAUCAUACUCCACCAUUAAGAAUAUAUUUCACUUGAAGUUAAACUAUUAGAGUUUCACCUAACGCAUCCUUACCAAACCGACUUGUAAGGUGGGGGGUGUCACUCUAUAUAAAUUCUUUCAAUGCUCUAUCUUCAACCAAUGUGGGACUUGGUGCGUAGAUUUAAACGGUGGGCGACCUAAAGUCCC